rnacentral:rRNA from 1 species
AUGGAUGGUACUACGUUGCGCGCCGCCAUCUUGGUCACCGUCCUCCUCCUGGCGCCACUGUUGGCACUGAUGCAUCGACGAAGCGGCAGCCCUCGCCGUAAACUGCCGCCGGGACCCGUCCCUCUCCCCGUGGUCGGCCACCUGCACCUCUUCAAGAAGCCGCUGCACCGCACCCUCGCGCGCCUCGCCGCUCGCCACGGCGUCGUGCUCGGCCUCCGUUUCGGCUCCCGCAGCGUGCUCGUCGUGUCCUCGGCCCAGGCCGCCGAGGAGUGCCUCGGCGCGCAGGACGUCGCGUUCGCCAACAGGCCGCAGCUGCCGUCCGGUGGGAUCCUCUCCUAUGACUGGUCCACCAUGGGCACCACCAACUACGGGCCAUACUGGCGCCACGUCCGCCGCAUCGCCGUGACCGAGAUCAUGGCCGCGCACCGGGUGGACCACUUCGCAGACGUGCACGUGCGCGAGGCGCGCGCCAUGGCGCGGGGCCUCUUCCACGCGGCUCGUGGCGCCAUGGGGCAGCGGGCCCGCGUCGAGCUCAAGUCGCGCCUGUUCGAGCUGCUCUUGAACACCAUGAUGGGCAUGAUCUGCGAGAAAAGCCACCACGGCGCCGGUAGCGUGACCAUCGACGCGGGGGUGAGAGAGGAGGCGCGGUGGUUCAGGGAGAUGGUGGAGGCGGCGAUGACACUGAGCGGUGCGUCGACGGUGUGGGACUUCCUGCCGGCGGCGCUGCGGUGCCGGUGGCUGGACGUGGGCGGGGUGGGGCGGCGGCUGUGGCGGCUGCGGGAGAGCCGGACCAAGUUCCUGCAGGGGCUGAUCGACGAGCAGCGGAAGGAGAUGGAGAAGGGGGAGGAGGGACGGAGGAGGAAGAUGAUCGGGGCGCUGCUCUCCAUGCAGCACAAGGACCCCGAGGCGUGCCCGGACCAGCUCAUCCGCUCCUUGUGCAUAAGCUCCUUCGAAGCCGGGACGGUCACGUCGGCGGACACCAUCGAGUGGGCGAUGUCGCUCCUGCUAAACAAUCCCGAGGUGAUGCUGAGAGCGCGCGAGCAGAUGGACGCGUGCAUUGGAGAACCACUGCGGCUGCUCGAGGCGACCGAUCUCCCGAACCUGCCGUACCUCCGAUGCAUCAUCAUGGAGACCCUCCGGCUGUACCCGCCGGCGCCGCUUCUCGUCCCCCACGAGUCAUCCGCCGACUGCACCGUCGGGGGGUUCUACAUUCCCCACGGGACGAUGCUCCUCGUCAACGCGUUUGCCAUCCACAGGGAUCCUCAGCUCUGGCAUGAACCAGCAAGCUUCGUUUCCGAGAGGUUUGAGGAUGGGAGAAAUGGAGAUAAGAUGGUGAUCCCAUUUGGCAUGGGUAGACGACGAUGCCCGGCCGAGCAAUUGGGCAUGCAAAUGGUUGGCCUUGCUCUUGGGACGAUGAUUCAGUGCUUCGACUGGGAGAGGGUGGAACAAGACCUUGUUGACAUGACUGAGGGGUCUGGUCAAACCAUGCCAAAGCACUUACCUUUGGAGGCUUUCUAUCAGCCUCGAGCUUCAAUGGCUCUUCAUCUUCCCAGGAUAGAGUAA